rnacentral:misc_RNA from 1 species
AACUGAUACUACCUGCGGGAACCUGCGGAAGGAUCAUUACUGGGUUUUUGGGCUCUGCCCGCCACCCGCCCUCUGUUAUUCGUGACUAUUGUUUCGGCCAGUGGGGGCGACCCCCGGCCGGCAGUAACUCUGAAGCAUCUUGAAGUCUGAUAAACUGUCAAUAAAAAAAACUUUUAACAAUGGAUCUCU